GAUGAAGAACGUAGCGAAAUGCGAUAAGUAAUGUGAAUUGCAGAAUUCAGUGAAUCAUCGAAUCUUUGAACGCACAUUGCGCCCCCUGGUAUUCCGGGGGGCAUGCCUGUCCGAGCGUCAUUACAACCCUCAAGCUCAGCUUGGUGUUGGGCCCCGCCGCCCCGGCGGGCCCUAAAGUCAGUGGCGGUGCCGUCCGGCUCCGAGCGUAGUAAUUCUUCUCGCUCUGGAGGUCCGGUCGUGUGCUCGCCAGCAACCCCCAAUUUUUUGCAGGUUGACCUCGGAUCAGGUAGGGAUACCCGCUGAACUUAAGCAUAUCAAUAAGCGGAGGA
rnacentral:misc_RNA from 1 species